AAAAUGAAGGAAGCUAUACAAUUAUUUUGAGCCAACCAUAUAUCACUGUAAAAAUGAUGGAAACCAAGGUUUUAGAUGAUGGCUCAUACUAUACUAAGAUUCAUAGCCAUGAUGGCAAGAAAUUAAUCCAAUUUUUCACAAUAAAGCUAGAUCAUAAGUAGGAUAGAAAUCAACUUGGAGAAAAUCCCGUGGACCAUAAGCAUGAUGAUUUUUUAGAUUUCUAAAUUGCAUGUAUUUCUAAACAGCAUGGGGUAUCAUAAGUACAAAAUAAUUUAUCUGUUAUAGCAUACUCUAAUGUAUAGAAGAGAGGUUGUAAUGUUUAGAGUUUAAUAGAGGAUGGAUUUGUAAUUUUUCAAAAAAAUUAAAGAUUUAGAUUUUAUAUAUAAAAGAUCAAUUAAGAAGAUAGAGAAAAAAAAUAUAAAAAAUUUGUGUGAUUUUUAUUGAUGAAUUUAUUUUUAGAAUUAUUAAAGAAGAAGGAUUUAAAAAAAUAUUUUACAAAUUUUAGAGACUUUGCAAGGCAAAAAUAUUACAUUAAUUGAUAUGAUGGUUGAAAUCCAUUCAAAAAGAUUGUAUGAAGAGAUAUUGAAGAUAGCUACUGAUGCUAGGUUGGUUGAGAGUUAUGGCUUAGACACUAAGAUAAUGGUGAAUACAAAGUAUAGGAUUGUUGUUAUAUUACGUAUACUCUUGCUUGAGAACAUAUUGGGC
rnacentral:lncRNA from 1 species